rnacentral:lncRNA from 1 species
GUUAUAUUGGAUUAAAGUAUUAUUUAUGGAUAAUAUUGUUUUGAGAUGGUUUAUUUGCAUUUGUAUUCUCUGGCAUCAAAAAAUGAUGAUCAUACUUAUAAUUAGAUUCUAGUUGUUCAGAAUAUUCUUAAUGAUCUUGAUUUUAGUUUUUUAUGGAUAUUUGCAGGCCCCUAUAUUGACUAAAAGAUUUUUGUUAAGGAUGCUACAAAUGAAGCUGGAUCAAUAUAUCCGAAAGGAUUGUGUGGCUUUAAGGGCUAACCAUUAUUGUAGCUUAUACAGUAUGGUCAAAUUGGAUUUUUAUAUGGAACCUUAUGUUAAAUUUAAAUUUUUUUAUAAAGAAAAUGUUGUUUCAGUUAUGUUAUGGCCAAAAUUAUUUAUGUGUAUAUAGAUAUGAAUUUGUAAUUUAUCCAGAUAGUUUAUGUAUUUAUUGUAAUUUAAAUGUGAUGGAAUCCUGGGC